UCCCCGUUACCGGGGCAGUCUAGCUAGAAAAAUUCAACUAACUAAAGGGGUUGCGCUCGUUAAUGGACUUAACCAUACAUCUCACGACACGAGCUGACGACGGCCAUGCAGCAUCUGUCACUCGGCUCCCGAAGGCACUCUCUCCUUUCGGAGAAAUUCCGAGGAUGUCAAACCUUGGUAAGGUUCUACGCUUAUCAUCGGAUUAAACAACACGCUCCACCGCUUGUGCGGGUCCCCGUCAAUUCCUUUAUGUUUUAGUCUUGCGACCGUACUCCACAGGCGGGAUGCUUAACGCGUUAACUACGCUACUACGCGGGUCGAUACGCAUAACAGCUAGCAUCCAUAGUUUACAGCGUGGACUAC
rnacentral:misc_RNA from 1 species